rnacentral:rRNA from 1 species
UCGCCUGCAUGAAGUCGGAAUUGCUAGUAAUCGCGGAUCAGCAUGCCGCGGUGAAUACGUUCCCGGGCCUUGUACACACCGCCCGUCACACCAUGGGAGUCGGUAACACCCGAAGCCGAUAGUCUAACGAAAGAGGACGCCGUCGAAGGUGGGAUUGAUGACUGGGGUGAAGUCGUAACAAGGUAUC